AUGGGAGCGACCCCCUCCUGGAGGUCGGCAAGAACUACGACGGGCGCGACCCCCUUCUGGGGGUCUGCCGGGACUGCGGCGGGCGCGACCCCCUCCUGGGGGUCCGCCGGGACUGCGGCGGGCGCGACCCCCUCCUGGAGGUCCGCCGGGACUGCGGCUGGCGCGACCUCCUCCUGGAGGUGCGCCGGGACUGCGGCUGGCGCGACCUCCUCCUGGAGGUGCGCCGGGACUGCGGCUGGCGCGACCUCCUCCUGGAGGUGCGCCGGGACUGCGGCUGGCGCGACCUCCUCCUGGAGGUGCGCCGGGACUGCGGCUGGCGCGACCUCCUCCUGGAGGUGCGCCGGAACUGCGGCUGGCGCAACCUCCUCCUGGAGGUGCGCAGGAACUGCGGCUGGCGCAACCUCCUCCUGGAGGUGCGCAGGAACUGCGGCUGGCGCAACCUCCUCCUGGAGGUGCGCAGGAACUGCGGCUGGCGCAACCUCCUCCUGGAGGUGCGCAGGAACUGCGGCUGGCGCAACCUCCUCCUGGAGGUGCGCAGGAACUGCGGCUGGCGCAACCUCCUCCUGGAGGUGCGCAGGAACUGCGGCUGGCGCAACCUCCUCCUGGAGGUGCGCAGGAACUGCGACUGGCGCAACCUCCUCCUGGAGGUGCGCAGGAACUGCGACUGGCGCAACCUCCUCCUGGAGGUGCGCAGGAACUGCGACUGGCGCAACCUCCUCCUGGAGGUGCGCAGGAACUGCGACUGGCGCGACCUCCUCCUGGAGGUGCGCAGGAACUGCGGCUAGCGCGACCUCCUCCUGGAGGUGCGCAGGAACUGCGACUAGCGCGACCUCCUCCUGGAGGUGCGCAGGAACUGCGACUGGCGCGACCUCCUCCUGGAGGUGCGCAGGAACUACGGCUAGCGCGACCUCCUCCUGGGGACCGGCGGGCGCUGCGGCUCCACGGGUGACGGGGACUGGAACGACCGCUACAGGGCCGACAGGAACGGGGACUGGAACGACCGCUACAGGGUCGACAGGAACGGGGACUGGAACGACCGCUACAGGGCCGACAGGAACGGGGACUGGAACGACCGCUACAGGGUCGACAGGAACGGGGACUGGAACGACCGCUACAGGGCCGACAGGAACGGGGACUGGAACGACCGCUACAGGGCCGACAGGAACGGGGACUGGAACGACCACUACAGGGUCGACAGGAACGGGGACUGGAACGACCGCUACAGGGUCGACAGGAACGGGGACUGGAACGACCGCUACAGGGUCGACAGGAACGGGGUCAGAGACAGGGGUGACCUCUACUUGGCCUACGGGAACGCCCUCUACUUGGCCUACGGGAACGCCCUCUACUUGGCCUACGGGAACGCCCUCUACUUGGCCUACGGGAACGCCCUCUACUCGGCCUACGGGAACGCCCUCUACUCGGCCUACGGGAACGCCCUCUACUCGGCCUACGGGAACGACCUCAAUUUGGUCGGCAGGGACAGGGACUGGAACGACCUCAAUUUGGUCGGCAGGGACAGGGACUGGAACGACCUCAACUUGGUCGGCAGGGACAGGAACUGGAACGACCUCAACAUGGCCGACAGGGACAGGAACUGGAACGACCUCGACAUGGCCGACAGGAACUGGAACGACCUCGACAUGGCCGACAGGAACUGGAACGACCUCGACAUGGCCGACAGGAACUGGAACGACCUCGACAUGGCCGACAGGAACUGGAACGACCUCAACAUGGCCGACAGGAACUGGAACGACCUCAACAUGGCCGACAGGAACUGGAACGACCUCAACAUGGCCGACAGGAACUGGAACGACCUCAACAUGGCCGACUGGAACUGGAACGACCUCAACAUGGCCGACUGGAACUGGAACGACCUCAACAUGGCCGACAGGGACAGGAACGACCUUUAACGGAUCGACAGGAACUGGAACGACCGCAACAUGGCCGACAGGGACUGGAACGGCCUCUACUUGGCCGACAGGAACUAGAACGGCGUCCUCCUCUGAGGAGCCGACAGGAACUGGAACUAGAACGGCCUCAAUAUGGCCGACGGGAACAGGGACGGCGUCCUCCUCUGAGGAGCCGACAGGAACUAGAACGACCGCAACAUGGCCGACAGGGACUGGAGCGGCGUCCCCUCCGGAGCUGGCAUGA
rnacentral:lncRNA from 1 species